CAGAUACACAUGCCUGUGACUUCAAAGAGGUUCUAACCCCCUUUCAAAAAAAACACAUUCGCACCCAUUUCCCCUGAAAGAGAAAUGAAAAGUCUCCUAGGAAAUCAUCUCCCAACAGCCUUUUCUGACUUGUAUCUCCUCCAUUUGUUCUCAAAUUCUGCUACCCAGAUGGAAAAGAGGGAAAUCGAGAAGAAGCCUGGACAACCUUUAUUUCUGACCAUUUCUGUGAUAUGAGGCUCAACAGUAUUUGGCAAGCUUCCAAAUCCUAAUUGCUCUCUAUUAAUCUUCCUCUGGCCACUGCUACCUAAUGGCAUUUGACACUAGAAGGCAGAAGAAGAGAUCUCGUCUUCCUCACUUUUCCUAAUCAGCACCCUGAGCAAGUAGACUCUGGAGCUUCUGCCAGGAGACGCAGGUAGAGAAUGUUUUGACAAUAAGCGUCAUUCGUCUGAGUACUUCGAGCUUUCUAAAUGUCCUCUUGCAGUGUAACUACUUCACUUUAAUUAAAUAGUGAGGCUGCAUUCCCAAUUUAUCCUAAGCCCCCAACACUCGUUUUUUGGAUUACAUUGUCAGUACUCUAGCAUCUGUAUUCCAAAGCACCUCACGUAGUAAACAGCACGUUCCUAAUAAAGACCCCUCUUAGAAUAACA
rnacentral:lncRNA from 1 species